GGUGCCCGGUCAUUUUCAGCUCUGUAGGAUUCCUCCAUCAGAAAAUUUGAGGAUAACUGGAUUAGAGAAUGGCAUUUGAGGCGCAGGCAAGUGUAGACCCUGAACAGAAUGGAAGGGAUCCCCCUACAGGAAAUAGAAGGAGAAGGCGACUUAGCAAAUGCCAAGAUAUUUUUAGGUUGAUGGCAAGAAUUUGAAGAAUUUCCAUUGGAAAGCUUGUUUUACUGCAAUGUAGAAGUGAGCAAAGUGGAAAUGAAGAGGAUGUCUGGAGUUUGAGUAGCCCAUGGAGCAGCUCUGGAGGCCAAGAGAACCACCUGGCCAGAGCCUGCCAGAGCACCUAGGGACGCAGGAUGGGUGAGUACAGUGGUCCCCCCUCACCCAGCAGGCUAACACAUGUAAUGUUUUGCUGUAGGUAAAACAGGGAUGAAACAUUGAAUGAUUAAGCUAGUUGAUUUGUAGAUGCUAUAAAACGUCCUAAAAUAUUGUAUUAGUUGCUUGGUUCACUCUAUAUUCUAAUUUUAUGAGUACACACUUUUUAAAUUCAGCUUCUGAUACUAAUUUUGAAAUCUCACUCUAGAAAUCUGGGCAACUGUCAACCUUGCCAUCUUAUUUCAGCUUCACAAGGCAAAACAACAACUUUCCCAAAGGAAAUAGCUAAAUGGGUUUCUCACAUUUUCUUUUUGAAAGGUAAGCUGUGGCUUGUUUACCCAAUGGAUUACACAGUAAGGAGCUUAUGCAACCAAACAAUUGAAGUUCAGCUUCCUUGUCUGAAGUGAAAAAAUUCAGUUACUAAGGCUAAAUCUUCAGAACCCCAAUUCUAGGAUUGGCUCUUGUCUGCUACUAUAUCAUUCUGACAGAAAACUAAAGGUUAGAACUCUGGCUUAGCGACCAUGAGAGCACUUGUUCCCCUUCACCAAAAUGAAAGUCUCGGAGGGUUGCACAACACUGAAGUGUCUGAGGAGCUGUGUCGCCAUGCUGGACUGCUUUGGAAUUAAUGGUCUCAGCUGAGGCCGAGAUCUGUCUGCCCCUCUGACAUCUCAUGGGCCACCAGCCACUGGGAGUAGCAGUUUUUCAACUCAAAAUGUUGGACAAGAUGAGAAGGCCAAUAUGAAGUGUGCAAGUGUGGGAAAUCAUCAAUGUAAUAUGCUAUGUGUGAUGUUGGUGCUAUGAAAACACGGUAGAGAUCUUUCGUUUAUCUUGUACAGCAAUCCCUCAUUAAAAGUAGAAUUAUUCGUAAUAAAAAUAAAUAAGAAUCACACUGCUCUUAAGUGAUUCUUUUAUCUGUCUCUUUGGGUGAGGAUAAAGAUUUGUGCACAGAAAACAAUUUCAACAAAAAUAUAAAGUAUAAUGAGUAAAUCUAUAAACAUUUUAGAUAUUGUUACAAUGUUCUAAUAUACUAACCACUCUCAGAUAUCACCAUGAUCCUGAUGUUGUCAAUUGUUGGUGAUAAAAUCCUUUGAUUCUUAUAACUCUUUACUGAGGAGGAAUAUAAAGGGAACUUAAUAUUUACAUGCUCAGAAAUUGGGGAGGUAAGAAGCUAUCUAGAAGAGUGUUAUGGGAGGAAAGAGAAAUGGCACCUAAAUAAAAUAUUUAAAAAAAAGAUUUUAUGGAGAAAUGAAACACUGAAUUUUAAAGGACAGGGAGGAGAGUUCGGGAACCCCAGGACUCCUGUUGGAAAAAAUCUCCGUAUUAUGUCCCCAUCCAACCCACCCCCAAAAUUCAUAUGUUAAGAAGAGAACAUUAGGAUAUAUACCAAGAGAUAUGGGAAAUGAGGGCACAGAGAGAAAAGGUUGUGCAAGAAGAUACCACCUACAAGCCAAGGAGAGAGUUCUCAGGAAAACCAAACUCUCAUCUUCAUCUUGAACUUAAAACCUCCAGAGCUAUGAAAAAAAAUAGUUUUUAUUGUUUAAGUCACUCGGUCUGUGGCAUUUUGUUAUGGAAGCCAGAGAAGACUAAUACAGUUCCAUGUGAAUAAGAGAAAAGUUGGGGUCAGGGAUGGUGGGGGAGAGGAGCUUGGAGAGACCCCUGCAGCCAAUCAUGAGGGCUCAGUUAGUGUCCACAGUUUGAGCUCCACCUGGAAAACAAGGAGAGCCCUGGAAAGAUGUAAAAGGGGACAAUCAGAGAAGAGGUUUCAGGUUUGUAAGGGGGAAGCUCACUGGAGGGGGCACAGCUGUGAGUGGUAGACUCUCCAGGAAGCUAAUAAUGCAGAUGUCAAUCACUGAGGUUCUGAACUGAGAAGGUGGUGGGGUGGAUGCCAGAGAGGAUUAUGAGGUUACAGUGAUAGAACUGAAUGACUGGGAGUGUGAGUUGUCAGAAGUCAGGGAGGAUCCCAAUUUCUAACUUGGGGAGCUGGGUGAGUGGAAAUGGCAUUUGGUAUGGAGUGGAAAAUAUGAAAUUCUGUGGUGGAUAUAUGCAUUUUACACGCUCUGGGUGGAAGGGGAAGCAGUAGUGAGCUAAUGAGCGUGCUCAAAGGAAGGCCUCUUUUUUUCAGAAUGGAGGAAGAAGCAUGGGCGGGGGUGUGGCUCUGUAGUGCAGUGCUUGCUUGGCAUGUGCAAGGCCCUGGGUUCCAUCCCCAGCACAGGAAAAGAAGAAAAUAAGGGAGGUGCAUGUGCAAACCCCAAGCUGGGGUCUGAGGCCAGAGGUGGAAGGAUGGGAUAUUGGAAGAUACAAAGGGAUAUUUGCUGUUUUUCAGUUGCCUGCAUCAAACCUUCUUCCGAGUUGCUCCCAGGGUCCUUUUGGAGAGGCAACUUGCAAAAGUGAUGGAAAGCAGGGACUCCGGACGGAGUCUGACCCUCAUUAUUUUGAAUCCAGCUUUUUACCAGACUUAGAAGUGUGACCUCCAACAGAGUAAGUCAGCUAUCUAUGACUCUGCCUCGUUGUAUAUAAAAAGAGACAAUAGUAUCUUCUUUAGAGUCUGUGGGAAGGACUAAUUGUGUUAGGUGUCACUCUUGGCCCUGCACUCCCCGUGGAGUGUGGCCUCAGGAGUAAUUCCUUGUGGCUCUCCCCUUCUAUGGAAGCCACCUCACUCCCUGAAGGCUCACUCCUGGGAUUCUCCACCUUGAAGCAGAGAAGCCAGAGGAGGAGCCAUCCGCCUCAGCACUGAGGUGCAGGUCCUGCCCCAGGCUUCUGGAGGUGUUUGGUGACACCAUCUGCAAGCUUGUUUCCCAGCCUGCCCUCAAUUCUUUGAGUCUCAAUAUUCUUUUGAUAAAUUCUCCAGAAUUAUUUUCUGUUCCAGCUAGGAGUCUCUCUGAUGGAGAAAGAGGGACACAGAUGAUUCUGAACCUAUCUAGGAUUACUAAGUCACAGUGAAGAGCAAGUCUACUUUAGAAAUGUCACCUCUGUAAAGUUACCAGUCCUCCAUGGUGUUAUUUUUUCCCAAAAGUACUCAGUGGCUUCAGUGGAAAUGUAAGAAUCAUGCAAAUGUCAUUUAUUAUCAUCUCCAAAGCAAUCAGGAACCAGUGAAGAGAUGACAUAGUGAUCAGGGUCUGGUUUUUAUUUGUGUGUGUGUGUAAAAAAUUGCAACACAUUUUUCACUAAUCCAUAAAAAAAAGGCUUUUAGUUUUAUUUCUUUAAUAUUGCUUCUGCCUUAAAAGUCUAAAAUGCCACCUUGGAAUUAUCUGUAACCACUUGAAGUUUAUAAAAUGCUAUCAUUAAUGUUAAUAGUUCGAAUUUACCUAACUCUUUUGUUCAAAGCACUAUAUCAUUAAGUGUUUACCUAAGCUAGGAAAGAUUUAUCUUGUCAUUAUAUAAGGGAGUAAAAUGAGAAUUUUUCCAAAAUUUGGCAUGGAUAUAUUUCAUUGAUGAUCAAAUGCCUUUUUUUAUCAUGAACGUCAGCAUCAUCAUUACUUAGAUUUAUUAAUUAUGUUUGUAAAGUACUCCUGCUAAUACUACCUUAUUUGAGCCAAAAUCACUUUUUUUCCCAACUGCACAUACUUUCUAGUCUUUGCAAUGUGUCUUGGAUCUGUGGUAGGUGCUAAGGAUAUACCUAUUAAUUACUAAGACUAAUUAACUACUACAAUUACUAAGGGGGCAUCCCCUAUUCUCAAUACCCUUACAAGCUAGCAAUGGAGUUAGACAAGUAAACUAAUGAGUGCAGCAUCCUGGGAAUAAUUCUAUGCUGGAAUUUGGGAACCAGAGAAGCAUACAGGUGGUCCAAAACCAGAAUGGGGUAAGGAGGGAAUCACAAAUUUCCCAUAGAUUUUUAAAAAACACAGUACAGAGAUAAUUACCUGUUCUAUUUCAUAGAACAAAAACAGGGCUCAGAGUGUUCCAGGGCCCCCCAGUCAAUAAUAGCUAAGGAAUGGAUCAAGAUGACCAUGUCCUACCCCUCUCCUUCCACUAUACAAUGAUGUGUCACAAAGAUCAUUACUGUCAUUUUACCAAUGGUGACAUCACGACUGUAUGAAAUUUAACAGGGAAUAACCAUUAUGUACAACUGUAAUACACCAAUCAAAAAUAUGGAAAAGAGAUUUAAUAGAAUAGGUACAUCCUAUGACUUCACUUCAGACUUGACCCCUCCCAGAUCCGUGAACUCAGAUGGGCUUUUCUGAUUGUGUGAAUGUGGGGAAAUGAAAAAAGAACAACAACAACAAAGGUUAAAGAGAAGGAUGGGUAAUCAUUUAGGAAAGAAGCAAGAGAAAGUUCUAUGUAUUAUUAGAAGAGUCAUCAGAGGAUCUUCCUACAUAACUCACCUGUUGCAGAUUGGUUAUAUUUGGGGGGCUCACAGAUAAUGACUACUUCCACUCUUCAUAAAAUGUUCCGUUUCUAACAUUGUUCCAAAAGCAUUUUUUUAACCAUCUAGUUUUUUGGUCUAACUUCUUAUGCUUUCUCCUUGAAACUGGGAAUAUCUUUGAACUGGGUUCUCAACCUUUUCUGUAACGAUCACCUUGGGUGGUAAUGAACACCAAGAUGAUGGUGUAGCUCUUACUAUGUUCAAAUAUAACCUAAAUUUGGUACUACAUUUCAAUGAUUGCUCAUUUCAAACAUUUUGAUCUAGCCCCCAAGUUUCCAAAUUUCUUUGCUUCCUAGAGAACUGAUUUUUUCCACUGUGGAUGUCUAAGCAGCCUUUAAAACACUCCACAAAACUCCAAAUGGUUAUAUUAGCUGGGUAAGAGAUAAGGGUUAAGGAAAGUAUCCAGGCAUCCAACCACAUUACUGCCAUUUUGUACAAGCUUCAGAUGAAAUACAGUCCCUCAAUAAAGUCCUUCUGUUUCUCUUUCCCUCCCUCUCUUUUCCUCUCCCUAUUUGCUGGAGAGGGGAACCCUAAACCCUGUGGAGCCUCGCCAGCAACACCAAAAGAAUCUCUUGACUAUUUUCCCAGGGAAUUCCUGCCUUAAAUGUCAGCCGAGUACAACUCCCCAGCCAAAGCAGAGUCUGCCUGAAUCUGAAUCAAGGCAAAUGUGCCUGUUAUGCCCAAUAAGAAAACCUGGCUCCAUCCAUAGGCCAUGGGGGUGCAGAGAGAAACUGAUUUCUUUGAAAGUUUCAACAUCCAUUGGAGAGGCAGGUUUUCUCAGAGUCACCUCAUUGAGGAAGAGGAGGUUACAUCAAGCAUUCUCAUCCCUUGCUGGUGUUCAAUUGCUUUUUUUAAAUUUCAUUCCUUUGGUGGUGAAUAUAUCUGGAAACCACCCUGAAUUAUAAACAUAAGGUAAUGCAUCUUUGAAAAGGAAACAAAGCUUCAUUAAGCCCUUUGUUGUGGAGGCUUGGGCUGCUACUGCUGUUGUUGUUCUGUUUAUUUGUUUGUUUUUAAUGAACAUACUGAUCUAUCAGUGCUCUGGGGGAAAUUCAUGAUGCCGAGAUUCAUGAAAAGCAAAAUAAGAUUUAUGAGUUGGGAUUGGAUGUGCCCACCAGCCUGGAGACACUUCCCGUCUGGUACCGAGGCAUUGUUGGCAUUUUUAGUGCCUUUGUUUCAGUCUUCAAUCUCUGAACACAUGAAGAAAUAUUAAAAGUUCUCAGGGCAAGGGUAGGGAAAAGCAGUCCACAAAUCUCAAAGAUAUACAUCAGCUCCAAAGCAAAACAGUAUGGCGUAGAAGAUUAAAAAUUCAGAAACAGAGCACAUUGAACAGCUAGUUCUGGCUAGGUACCCUUGGCAUUUUUCAGUUACUUCAUGAGGCUCUUGGACUAAAAAUCCAUACAGUCAUUGGGUGUGGAAGACCAACUUCAGAUCAAUGUACCCCAUAACUAUCAUUCACCCCACCCCAGAGAAUCACAGCAUUAUACAGUAAGAAAGUCAGGUUUUAAUUAUAAAUCAUUAUUUCAUUUUUAAAUGAACUAAGCCUUUUUAAAGUUGUCCAAAGGGGAAAAAAAAUUGAUUCUGACUCUCAUUUGGGUGGAGGCCCAGUUGCAGGCAGUUCAACUUGGAAGCUAUUACUUACAUUCACCAGGGUGCAACCUCACACUGCCCCACCAGCAACCUGAGCACCUUAUAACUGCUUUCUUCCAUCCUCCAUACGUCAUCACAGACGGUUCUGUUGGAAAUUACUGUCCCUCGUCAGAAGGAAAGCCAGGCAAGUAGCUGGUUAUUGCACAGAGCUGAGAGGAAGAGUGGGGACUCCAUCUCAAAUACAAAAAGGUGAAUCAGCAAUGCAAUAUUGACACAAAGCACAUCCAGGAGGUGAAGAGUUAACCUCUGAAAGAUUGUAUGCCCCACUCUGCUGAGAGUACCAAUAAGUGUAUGAGUUGGUGCCAAUUAGGGUGGCCCUUUCCUUGAUGGGAACAGUCAUCCCUUAGGAACUGGACUGUCAACAUAUUGGCCAGCCAGAAAAAAAAAAAUGAAAAAGAGUCUGAGAAACUGUGGUAACCAAGUUUUGCUGGCACUUUUUAAAGGGGUGACUGGAGCUGCCAUGGCCCUGUGGAGAAUACCAAUGAGCCUAGGGCAUCCUGCAAAAAGAGGGUCUGAAGAAUGUCCCUCCACUCACCAGCUAAGGAGGAGUGCUCCUCAUGGAUUCCUGUAGGCCUGACCACAGGAUUCAUUCAAAAGAAGCACUUAAACCCUGCUGUGCAGUUCCUUGGGUUCAAAGACCUCACAAACACUCCUGACUUCUUCUUCUUAGGGUUAAGACAAUUACAUUUAGCACAACUACCUGCAAAGUCAAUGUUUUAAAUUUAAAAAAUAAAUAAAUAAAAUUUUAAAAAUUGGGCACCAUUUUAAAAUCUUGUUCUUAAAUCUAAAUGGUAAAUAGUUUUAAGGUUCAAUAGGAAACAUUUCAAGUGUUCUUGGAUUCAAAUAAAUCCUUCCUACCCCUCUCAUCAGAAUUUAUUCCAAUUUUCAGGGAGCAUAUUUUUUAAAGGCUGCAAGCACUGAUGCACAAUAAUCAGUGUGCGACCAUAUUCUUAAAAAUAUAAACUCAGCCAGGUGUGGUGGUGUAAGCCUAUAAUCCCAGUGACAAGGGAGGCUGAAGCAAGAGUAUCGAAAGUUCGAGGACAGCCUCAACAAUUUAGUGAGAUCCUCUCUCAAAUAAAAAGGACUGGGUGUAUGGCUCAAUGGUCAAGCACUGCUGGAUUCAAGAUUCAAUUCCCAGUACCAAAAAAAGAAAAGAGAAAACAAAGAGAGAGUGUAAACUAAAUCUUUGUUAUCUGAGAAUACUUGAAACGGGAAUAAAGUGUUCCUCUGAAAUUCAUACUCAACAUUCUAAUUCCCUAUUCUAAUGAGAACUUUGUACUCAUUGUCCUUGUCUUAAGUACACAAAUGAGACAACAAAAGGUUUUAAAGCAUAAUCCGUCUUCCCUCUGUAUUUCUUCCUCAUCAUACUUCAUUCUGGAAAAAAAAAAUCCAAUUUGAAAUGAGGCGGUAGGUGGAGAGACAAAGGAACCUAUAGAUAUACUAUUAUCUACUAUCUUAACCAAAAAUGUGUUAUUAUCACAUUUUUGGUUAAGAUAGCCAAACACGCAUCCAUGAUGACAGCAUGAACUGAGCAUUAUGAUUAAUCCAGUCCUAUCCACCUGAGGUCAAUUUAAAAAAAAAAAGUGCUGCUAAUUGUUGGACCCUCUGAAAAUUCAAGCUCCUUAGGCAGGGUCACUUUCAGGAGCAUGUGACCUGUGCACUGGACUCACUAUUAAAAGGGCCCCACACUUUGGUUAAUGUCCUGGUAUUGCAAUUUUGAAAUCCUUCAUAUUUUUUGAGCAAAGAAUCUUGCAAUUCAUUUUGUACCAGGACCAUCAAAUUAUACAGUCAGUCCUUAUACUUGGUUUCCAAAUAUUGAAUUUACCUACAAUUCCUCCAUCAUUUUUUCCCCAUCCAGUCUCUAUAUUUUUUAAAUGUGCUACUUCUUACCCCAAAAUUAUUAAUAUAGCAUCCAGAUGAGAACUCUGGAGCCGUCUCAUUAUUUCCUAUUUUGCCUUAUUUUUUAUUAUCCAAAUCAGUAUUGCCUAUGUUACAAAUGGAGUUACAGUUAUAUAUUGUGCUUCUAUUCACAUUAAAAACUUCCAAUAGAAUUCAUGGGCUAUUUGACACUCAAUAAAAAAAAAAUGCAUAGAAACCUAGAUUGCAAUUCAUCUCAACUCCUGGAUAAUACAAAUCCAUUUUCUGAUAGGUAUCCAAAUUCAACUACAACAUAACUACAAGCAAGACAAAUUUUCAGCAUUUCUUUAUGGCAGGAAGAUUUCAAAUAAAGGUCUG
rnacentral:lncRNA from 1 species